rnacentral:misc_RNA from 1 species
AUUAGAAACUUUUCUCUUCCAACUUGAAACUAUCCGUAUAAUCUGCCGGUUUUGGUAUCGGGAUCAACACCUCGCGAUUAACAGCAAAUACAGGGCAAUGUUUACCGAUCACGUCUUGCCAGAGAGUUCUCGAAGCGUGGUAUUGACCCAUCUCGCUCAUGGGAACGAUGUCUCGAGGCCUGUAAGCAAGGGAGAUCAAUGAAAGCGAUAGUAACAAGAAAAACAGUAUUGAAGCAAUUGUUCUACCUCCGUUCGCAGCCCUUCUGCAGUCAGG